AAAAACUACAAACAUGGCAGAUACACAAGACUGAUGUUAAUAUAAAGGAGGUUUGAGUGAUUAAUAAUCAAUAUCAACCUGAUGAAACAUUAUUUCUUUAAUAUUAUCCACAUUAUGUUUCAUCUGCAACAACAUUGUAACAUUUUAUGAGAAACCAUAGAUAUGUAGAUGUAGAUUCGACUGCUUCAGAUACAUCGAUGCAUCCGCCACCUUGGAACAGUCAACAUGUCACUCAAAGUAAAAGAUGCACAGCCUCUGGUUGUAAAAACCGCAGAGAUUUAAACUCCAGAAGAAAUGGGAUAAACUUUCACAGGUGAGAAUGAGUUGAUUUGUGUUUUGAUAACUCAAUCAUUCAUCACGGUCAGGAGCUCAUGUGCCCUGAAAUUAUUGGAUGUUAAGGAAAACACUGCAGUGUAAGUUCAUUUAACAUAUAAUUUGUGUAAAAUAUAAAGUGUUGCACAUUUUAUUGGUACAGAGGUGGUUAUGUGUAUUUUGUAAAAACGUUAGCAACUUCUUUUUAUCAUUUACUUAGAAGCACCACAAUUAAAUUAUCCUUCAUAGGGACUACAGAACAGAUACUUUGAACACACUGAACAACAGUUAGACAGAAAACAAACCCAUCCUUCAUGUUUCCAGAAGUGUGUUUGUUAAACUCGUACCACAUUCUGGUGCCUGUGUCACUGCAGAGGUCAAACUAGAGGUCAAACUAGAGGUCACAGCUGCAGUAGUUGGUCC
ensembl:lncRNA